CUUUUUACAGAGAAAAGACAACAAAGACAACAGCAAUUCAAGCUUCUUUUAAUGUUCUACUAUGGUGCAGUAGUCCAUCCUGGGAAGGAGUAUUGAGACAAGAGAGCUUCUAAAAACUUCCUUGGAACAAUACUAAAAGAUAAAGCUAUCUGCAGCUGAGCUAACUGUAAUGAGAGCAGAUACCAGCACUGCAAGGGCAGCAAAUGGGGAGAUCUGCAGCAAGAACAACAACAUUCACAGCAAAAGCAAUGGCAGGAGGAUGUUACUAUGUGCACGAGCAUAUGGUAACCAGCAGCAAAUUAUGAAUAGACUUUGUGUGCUGAGCUAGUCAGGAAUUGUUAUAUUUGUGUACAGUGUUUAUUUGCUAAGCUUUAUGGUCAACUUCAUUACUCUUCAUUUUAUUCAUUAUUAUGUCACUGAGCAGCAACUUGUUACAAGAUUAAAAGUUCCAAUUGGUUGCUCAUGCCUACGGUAUGUAAAUGCCUUACAGCUCUGGCAGUAAUUUACUGACAUUCUGGCAAUUUGUGCUUAAAUAGCUUAUGCACACACAUACAUAUGCACACUAGCAUUGUAUACGUGUGUGAUUUUUUAUUUAUUUAUUUUUUUAGAAACUCAGUGUCAGGCAUUUUGUGCAACUAGGUAUGACUAGAGACCUGAUCCUGCAAUCCUGAUGGACACGAAAAUGCUUUUUAUCUCUUUGGGAGUGACCAGUUU